rnacentral:rRNA from 1 species
AUUGAACGCUGGCGGCAGGCCUAACACAUGCAAGUCGAGCGAGCGGCGGACGGGUGAGUAAUGUAUGGGGAACUGCCCGAUGGAGGGGGAUAACUACUGGAAACGGUAGCUAAUACCGCAUACCAUCGGAUGUACCCACAUGGGAUUAGCUGGUAGGUGGGGUAACGGCUCACCUAGGCGACGAUCCCUAGCUGGUCUGAGAGGAUGAUCAGCCACACUGGAACUGAGACACGGCCCAGACUCCUACGGGAGGCAGCAGUGGGGAAUAUUGCACAAUGGGCGCAAGCCUGAUGCAGCCAUGCCGCGUGUGUGAAGAAGGCCUUCGGGUUGUAAAGUACUUUCAGCGGGGAGGCGUUACCGGCAGAAGAAGCACCGGCUAACUCCGUGCCAGCAGCCGCGGUAAUUC